UACGUAGGGGGCUAGCGUUGUUCGGAAUUACUGGGCGUAAAGCGUAUGCAGGCGGCCUUUUAAGUCGGGGGUGAAAUCCCGAGGCUCAACCUCGGAACUGCCUUCGAUACUGGAAGUCUUGAGUCCGGGAGAGGUGAGUGGAACUCCGAGUGUAGAGGUGAAAUUCGUAGAUAUUCGGAAGAACACCAGUGGCGAAGGCGGCGCACUGGCCCGGUACUGACGCUGAGAUACGAAAGCGUGGGGAGCAAACAGG
rnacentral:rRNA from 1 species